GGGGCUUUGCGGGGGAGCAGAGCAGAGGCGCCUACCAUGCGGGAGAGCCCAUUCGCGGGCGCCGGCCCGGCCGCGAUCAUUUAUAAUCCUUGACUCCUCCGCUCCGCCACUUGGCAAGAUGACAGGGUGGGAAUUUCAGGUCAGCUGAGUCACCCGAGGAGGUGGGAGUGCGAGACUCUGCCGGGAAGACGGAUUCCGGGGCAGAAGGGUGUAAUUAAGGACUUCCACCCCCGGUAGGCGGCUCGUCCUUCAGAGCCUCUGAAUAUGACUUGAGCCUUUCCUUCCAGAGCGUCCUCUCGCCCGAGACUGAAAAGCGCAGUGACCUCCAAACCCGGGAGGGAGGCGCGGGACACUCCGACCGCCCCCCGCCCAGCCCCGGCUCCGCAGGGCGGUACAGCAAGUGUCCGCCCCCAGGUUCCAGUACCUGGACCUCCAACAAGCACGAGCUGGCCAGGGGAGGACCCCGGGGUCCCCUAAAAGGCCACAACCCCACAUUGAUUCCUUCUCCCUAUUCUCCCCUCAGGUUAGCUGUCCAACUCCAUCCCUGCCUCUACUUUGUUUGCUGUGGGAGGGGGGAAAGAGUUUACUGCCGGUCUCAAGACACUGCCACUUUCUAGUCAUUUAAGUUCCCACCAAAACUCUGGCUCUCCCCUCCCACCCCCCGUCUGGAAGAGGGGGGCUCACUGAACUGCUGGAAGUUCCUGAGGUUCGGGGUGGGGGUUAGAACCCCAAACGGGCCACCUCUACGAUGCCACUCUGUGGCUCGGCGGCCCCGGGACCUUCGGGCACCUUCUGUUCCGGGACCAAGAGGCAGCAGGCAAGGGGGGGGGCACGCUCCGGGGCAGGACGAGUGCGCGUGGCUCCUGUGGGGCCCCCGGGCGUCCCCCAGCCCUUCCCUGGGACCUGUGCAGAGCCGACAGUCCACGUCCAGGCCUGCCCGGCAGUUGCGGACCUGCCCUCAGGAGCGUGACAGAGGGACUGUUGCCCUCCGAGCCUCCUCAUUCAUUCCACCUUCCACUCUGCGCUUUGGAGCGGAGGCUGUCACCGACCUGUCCCUAACCUGAGGCAGCCGGGAGGAAAUGCACUUGCAUUUGUAGCCGCAGGCAGAACAGGAAGCAGAUUGAGCCUCGACUUUCACGUUAGAGUUUAUCCAAAGUUUGGCGUGAACUGACAAGCUGAGUCCCUGAACUCAGCUGAGCGCGGGUCCCCACGCCUGCCUUCCCUAAGUUGCUGAGUGAGCGAGCCCAGCGCGAUGAGGUCGGUAGUAACCAAACCUAACCCGACCCGGCUCCGACUGUGCAGGAAGAUUCUAGAGUCUCCCUGGGGUGGAUCAGUCCCCUUGCCACUGCAUUUCACCCUGGACAAAGAUAAGGUCGUGGGAGCAGCUGAAAUAUAACCCCCUCCGAUUCUAGCCAUUCUCUUAAUCUUAAGAAAACUCGGCAUUUUAUAAAGGGACAGCCCAAUAUGACAGGACCAUCACGCAAACCACUUGAAAUUGGCGUCCCUUACGUGAUGUAAAGGAAACUGCGAGGAUGUUCCAUGAGUCGCUUUUGUGGCCCAGUUCCCGCAAAAACAUGUUAAGUGUUUAAAACUUUCCCAUACUAAGUGAGAGUCUCUUUUGCUUUUUUGUACCCUUCUGUCUAGGAAUACGCAAUAAAGAAAAAAGAUACUCUGCCCCCAUCCUACAGAGGCCAGGACAGAAGGGCUACACCAUUGUUGGAGCUGAGGGGAGGAGACAUAUUUCUUCCUUUCAGCUCUUUUUUUUUCUAGAACUCUCAUUAUGGCUGACGUUUGUAAUAGGGAUGGGGAACAAUAGAGCUCAUCAAAUUUAGAAAUGGAAUGAAUCUCGGAGUCUGUCCCCAGCAUAGCCCCGGUUAGGUGACACUCAAAGUUUUCGGCGUGACGUGCUGCUGGCUCACACUAAGUGAUGGCAGUGUAGAAACGACAGACACUCUGAGCUCGCGGUUACGACCCUGUCACUCCGGGCCAGGGGUCGCUGUGGACAAGCCUGCAGGUGGCUUCCCCCAGUGUCUGUCUGGCCAGCCUGGAAUCCGGGUGUUAAGCUGAAGUCUUCACGGGUCACCCACCCCCCAUUCUCUAACAAAGAAGUUUCCAUGUUUGGAGGCCGCUGGAAAAGCUGAUGUUGUGCAGUGCCCAAGUCCUUCCUUCUCCAAACGAAUCCCUGGAAAGCAGCGAGGCCGCUCACUACGUGAUCAGCCUGCUUUCUACCUCACUGAGCCGCCGCCGAGAGAGGGCGAGCGGGAAUGGCGGGGAGCGCGCGCAGGGCCCUCCGCACCCACAAAAACUGGAGCAGGCGGGAUGUCGCUGUUUUGCAAACCUGUGGCCGCUCAAGGCAAACCCUGCCCGGGGAGGCUGCAGCCAGUGGUGCCGGGGAUAAUGAACUGAGCUGGCCUCAUCGCCCUCGCCUGGGCCCCUCUUGUCACAUAGACACCAAGCUCUUGGAAAGGGAAAUGCGGCCGGGCUCCCCUCGAAGCCCCUACCCCUACCCCUAGAAAGGCAAGCGGGAGUCUGACCCCGAGGCUUUCAGGCGUGCUGAAGGGGAGCACGGAGUCAGGCGAGGAUGAGGCUCUCCAAGGAGACUUGUGGACAUCACUGGACUUUUAAGGCAUUCUUGAGACUUUUAUCUGCAAUAGCAGACUGAGGCAUGAGCAACCCGCAUGAGCAAACCGAGUUGCUGCCAGGGCUGCGACCUCUGCCCUUCAAGGUGAUGAGGCACAGGGAGGAAAGAUCAGGGGAGCCCAAUCUCAGGUUACACCUUCCACUCACCCUUUGAAAAGAUCAGCGAAGCCAACAAUCCAGGUAGAAUCAAAAACAGGUUAUGUCUCAACUGAGAACAACAAAUAAAUGCUGGGCCACUUGAAACACUGUAAGGGCUGGUAGUCACUGAGUUGUAGCCACCAAAAUGUUUUCAGGCGCGGCAUGUAGCAAGCACGCAUCUGGAAUGAUCUACAGCAGGAGAACUUAAAUUUCACAUGGAAAUUGCUCUAAUAGCCUUAAAGUUAUUAUCAGGUUAGUUACCCACACACACACAUACACAAGCAGAACAUAAUUCAGCUCCUUUGGCUGUGAGAUCUAGGGAACUGUAAUUUGUACAUUUUGGGGUGCCCUUUGUAUAGUGUUUCUAAGGUAGGCACUAGCUGCUGGCAAGGUUUUUGGAUAAGUCAGUGACACAGCAGGACAAUUUUGUUAAUAACACCUUUAGAUAUCCCUGGGUUCAGUUUACAUAUUAAAUUGUAAAUAUAGGCUAAAAAUCAAGGCAUCAAGUGACUGUUACUCAGUACCAGACAAAGUGAUUGUCUUUUCAUUUCCCAGAGGUGCCCUGGUCUUUCUCCUGCCUUUGCUGACCCCUUAGUCUGGAAUAUUCUACACCCUGGAACAUUUAGCUUUUACUUAUUUAUUUAUUUUUCCAUUUUAGGAACACUCUGCUACCUUAGCAGUGCCUCCACUGUAUUUUCUGCAUGUAAUAAACAAUGACACUGCUUUUCCUAUAGGCCAAUGUUUUCCAACCUUGUUUAUUUCACACCAUACUUGAACCUAUAGUUAAACUUCCAAAUAAUUUAGUUAAUGAUCUUUAAAAAUUUUCGUGGCACACGUAAGAUCCUCUCAUGGCACAUCAGUGUGCCAUGGCACACUGGUUGAAAAUCACAAAUAGAGGCACAAAUAGCUGAGGGCUCCUGGGGUGUGUAGAGGCUUGACAGGAGCUGGAGUUUAGGGAGAUGCUUAAGAAAUGCUGAAUAAAUGACUGUUGAAUGAAUGAGUGGAGAUGUGAAUAAAAUAUUUUCAUCGUA